GACGAACGCUGGCGGCGCGCUUAACACAUGCAAGUCGAACGAUGAAGCUGGAGCUUGCUCCGGCGGAUUAGUGGCGAACGGGUGAGUAACACGUGAGCAAUCUGCCCUUCACUCUGGGAUAACUGCGGGAAACUGUAGCUAAUACCGGAUACGAGGCUUGGAGGCAUCUCCAGGUCUGGAAAGAAUUUCGGUGAAGGAUGAGCUCGCGGCCUAUCAGCUUGUUGGUGAGGUAAUGGCUCACCAAGGCGACGACGGGUAGCCGGCCUGAGAGGGGGGCCGGCCACACUGGGACUGAGACACGGCCCAGACUCCUACGGGAGGCAGCAGUGGGGAAUAUUGCACAAUGGGCGAAAGCCUGAUGCAGCAACGCCGCGUGAGGGAUGAAGGCCUUCGGGUUGUAAACCUCUUUUAGCAGGGAAGAAGCGAAAGUGACGGUACCUGCAGAAAAAGCACCGGCUAACUACGUGCCAGCCGCCGCCGUAA
rnacentral:rRNA from 1 species